rnacentral:rRNA from 1 species
AGUGAACGCUGGCGGCGUGCCUAAUACAUGCAAGUCGAACGGAGUGGCGCACGGGUGAGUAAUAUAUAGCUAAUCUGCACCUUGCUGGAGGAAAACCGAUAGAAAUGACUGCUAAUACUCCAUAGCAAGGGAUGAGACUAUAUCGUAUCAGCUCGUCGGUGGGGUAACGGCCUACCGAGGCUAUGACGCGUAACUGGUCUGAGAGGAUGAUCAGUUACAUUGGAACUGACACACGGUCCAAACUCCUACGGGAGGCAGCAGUAUGGAAUAUUGCGCAAUGGGGGAACCCCUGACGCAGCAACGCCGCGUGGAGGAUGACACUUUUCGGAGCGUAAACUCCUUUUGUUAGGGAAGCGGUACCUAACUAAUAAAAGCCGGCUAACUCCGUGCCAGCAGCCGCGGUAAUUC